rnacentral:piRNA from 1 species
UUUCAGUCUAUGGCUAACUUU